UCUACAAUAAAUCAGUAUACUCUCCAUCAGUUUAUUCCCAAACAACAUUCCCUUGCGCAAAUCUGUGUAUCGCAACUAAAUCCGGUUAAGGUUUCAGGACAGGUUUAGGACUAUGACUUCAGGGAUCUAUACGGGCGGCAUCAGGAAAUGCAACAGGUGGAAAACUAUUCGUUCUCGCAAUGAUCUGUUGUUGUUCUCCGGAAGGAAGGUGCACUUGAAGAGAACGCUGCCUGAAUUGGACGCUCGAGUAAGGGGGAAAAUAAGAACUAGUCGCACGUCCAGCCACAGAAAACCCACAGCCAGGCACCAUGGAUGACAGCUUGAGUAACUCCAAUGUGAAGGUCGCAGUUCGCGUCCGACCAAUGAACAGAAGAGGUACAUUCAUAAUACAAAUCUUCACAGUCAUUUCAUGACUAGGUCUUUCCUUUCAUGCAGUUUAUUUUGGUGUGUGUGAGUGAAUGAUGCGGGGGUGACUAAACAUGCAGCCCCAGCAGUUAUAUCCGUGGAGCCGGGCAGGUUAAGGUCAUGGAAUAUUGUGU
rnacentral:lncRNA from 1 species